UACGUAGGGUGCGAGCGUUGUCCGGAAUUACUGGGCGUAAAGAGCUCGUAGGUGGUUUGUCGCGUUGUUCGUGAAAUCUCACGGCUUAACUGUGAGCGUGCGGGCGAUACGGGCAGACUAGAGUACUGCAGGGGAGACUGGAAUUCCUGGUGUAGCGGUGGAAUGCGCAGAUAUCAGGAGGAACACCGGUGGCGAAGGCGGGUCUCUGGGCGAGUAACUGACGCUGAGGAGCGAAAAGCGUGGGGAGCGAACAGGG
rnacentral:rRNA from 1 species